rnacentral:rRNA from 1 species
AUGCGCGGCUANCAUGCAGUCGAACGGAAAGGCCCUGCUUUUGUGGGGUGCUCGAGUGGCGAACGGUUGAGUAACACGUGAGUAACCUGCCCUUGACUUUGGGAUAACUUCAGGAAACUGGGGCUAAUACCGGAUAGGAGCUCCUGCUGCAUGGUGGGGGUUGGAAAGUUUCGGCGGUUGGGGAUGGACUCGCGGCUUAUCAGCUUGUUGGUGGGGUAGUGGCUUACCAAGGCCUUGACGGGUAGCCGGCCUGAGAGGGUGACCGGCCACAUUGGGACUGAGAUACGGCCCAGACUCCUACGGGAGGCAGCAGUGGGGAAUAUUGCACAAUGGGCGGAAGCCUGAUGCAGCAACGCCGCGUGCGGGAUGACGGCCUUCGGGUUGUAAACCGCUUUCGCCUGUGACGAAGCGUGAGUGACGGUAAUGGGUAAAGAAGCACCGGCUAACUACGUGCCAGCAGCCGCGGUGAUACGUASGGUGCGAGCGUUGUCCGGAUUUAUUGGGCGUAAAGGGCUCGUAAGUGGUUGAUCGCGUCCGAAGUGUAAUCUUGGGGCUUAACCCUGAGCGUGCUUUCGAUACNGGUUGACUUGAGGAAGGUAGGGGAGAAUGGAAUUCCUGGUGGAGCGGUGGAAUGCGCAGAUAUCANGAGGAACACCAGUGGCGAANGCGGCUCUCUGGGCCUUUCCUGACGCUGAGGAGCGAAAGCGUGGGGAGCGAACAGGCUUAGAUACCCUGGUAGUCCACGCUGUAAACGGUGGGUACUAAGUGUGGGGUCCAUUCCACGGGUUCCGUGCCGUAACUAAC